GACGAACGCUGGCGGCGUGCUUAACACAUGCAAGUCGAACGGAAAGGCCCUGCUUUUGUGGGGUGCUCGAGUGGCGAACGGGUGAGUAACACGUGAGUAACCUGCCCUUGACUUUGGGAUAACUUCAGGAAACUGGGGCUAAUACCGGAUAGGAGCUCCUGCUGCAUGGUGGGGGUUGGAAAGUUUCGGCGGUUGGGGAUGGACUCGCGGCUUAUCAGCUUGUUGGUGGGGUAGUGGCUUACCAAGGCUUUGACGGGUAGCCGGCCUGAGAGGGUGACCGGCCACAUUGGGACUGAGAGACGGCCCAGACUCCUACGUGAGGCAGCAGUGGGGAAUAUUGCACAAUGGGCGGAAGCCUGAUGCGGCAACGCCGCGUGCGGGAUGACGGCCUUCGGGUUGUAAACCGCUUUCGCCUGUGGCGAAGCGUGAGUGACGGUAAUGGGUAAAGAAGCACCGGCUAACUACGUG
rnacentral:rRNA from 1 species